CACCUUCAGUUCCAGUAGCUGUAGUUUCCUCCUCAAUGCCCUGUUUUCUUUCUGGCUUUGAGUUAUUUCCAAACGAAACACUGCAUAGUCGUCGUCUACGACUUUACAGAUCUCUGCCACUGCUGCAUUCGCUAGCACCUCCAUGAUGGAGGCUAUUUGAGUGUGAAAACCCAUACAGUUAGCCAUUGUUAGCUAAGCAGCUAGCUAGCGUUACCUAGAUAACAUAUAUCAAGCAAGUCCUGUCUCAAACGCGAAUUAAACACGGCAUGGGUUGUGGUUAACAGUUGAGGACGCUGUUCCAUCCACUGACCUCCACUAUGUCGUCUCUGGUCCUGGCCUGCUCAGUGAUGUCGUCACCAUGGGCCCAAUGGAGUUGGAGUCAACUACCUGUUCAAGUUCAUAAAUUAUAAUGUGUGUUUUAGUAUGUAAACACAAGUUGUAUUGAUUUCAUUUUAUGAAAAAAUAAAAGCCCGGUGCAUCACUA